rnacentral:lncRNA from 1 species
AUUGCAGGGCGCAUACAGCAGUUUCGGUUUCUUAUAAGCAAAAAUAGAUUGCAUUAGUUCCCCCUUUUGUUGGUUGUCAAUGUCAUUUAAUCUGACACUUUUUCUUUGAUGAUGAAUCAGCAGGCCGAGGGCCUUCAGAUGGACUGCUGUUCUGGACUUCUUCAGCGUCCAGAUGGCCAGUCCGUCCCUGCUACAGACUAUAGAACAAUUGUAUAUGAAACAAUGGCAGAUUUCAUCUAAAUAAUGAACUUGCUGUUAGGAGUUUCAAAGGCGGACUGAAAGUGAAUCAUCAGACUGGAUCUCUGACAUCACAAACACUAGAACCACAGACUCUGGACUUUAUGAACUACGGAUCAACAGAAAACUCAUCUGCCUGUUCCUGUCAUUACCAGAGACUCUCCACAAUGGUCUUCAUCAUCGUCCAAUUGUUCAUUGGUGUGUUCAGUGGUGAAUGUGGGUCAUGUGACUCUCUCCUGGUACAAAGGAAACAGUUUAUUGUCCAGCAUCAGUGUGUCUGAUCUCAGCAUCAGUCUCUCUCUACCUCUGGAGUGUCUGAAGAAUUCCUACAGCUGUGUUGUGUCUUAUUCAUUCACCAACCAGACCACACAUCUGGACAUCACUCAACUCUGUCCGAUAAGGUAAGUCUAUUGUACAAGAGUUUAUGCCUGUGGUUGAGCUGGGGUGUAUUCCAGAAAGCAGGGUUAACUUACCGUGAACUAAACCCUGAACUCUCGGUUGAUUAACCCCACACCUUGCUUACUCGAGGUAUGUGGUUCCAAAAACGCGUCCAGGAGUAAGUUCAUUCAACUCAGAGUAUGUUCCUGGUUAAGACUCAAGACAUUCUCAACAGAGCGACGAAUCGACGAGUCACUAUGGAAACGGACGCUAAGAAAAAGCGCGCCAAGCUGUUUCUUUCUUCUUCUUUUGUUCAUUAGUUGUUUACAUGCUUAGUGCAUAUCGCCACCUAAUUGAUGGCUGUGCAAUCAUUUUUAUUUUUUUCCAUUUAAUCUUUAAUCCCUGAGAAGAAUGUGAAUUAUAUUGUUUGUUUUAUGCUAAUUAUAUAUUAAGUCAUAUCAGAUAUGUAUUUUGAUUUAGAAUUUAGACAUUAUAGAAAAUCCAUGUGUGAGAUAAUAUAACGUAAUAAAUAAAAUAAAUAAAUAUAUAUAAGUUAAACAUUACCUUGUCAUAGUGUUUUAUAAUUUAUACAGAUAGCUCUUAUAUAUGCCAAAUAAAGAAAUAAUCAUAUUAGAAUAAUAUAUUACCUUAUUUAUUACUUAUAUUAGCGCUUCAUCAUUAACAUAUCAUAUAUAUAUAUAUAUAUUUACAUUUACAUUUACAUUUAAUCAUUUAGCAGACGCUUUUAUCCAAAGCAACUUACAAAUGAGAACAGUAGAAACAAUCAGAUCAACGAGAAAACAACAACGGUAUACAAGUGC